AUCUGGUCAACUGUCAGAAAUGCCCUCCCAAGUCUCACCUGGUUUUUACCCCACCUGGGACCUUUGGUAGGUAUAUCAUUACUACUAAUUUGUGGCCCUUGCUUGUCUAACCACUUAGUAAAGUUUGUGUCUUCCAGAUUGCAACACUUCUACAUCAAGAAAAUGUGGCAAUAAGGCUGCCAAACCCUCCUGUCUUCUGAACCGAAUCCUUGUAGAUUCUGGAUAUCGCACCUUCAUAGGAAUAUUCUGAGAAUAUUUUCUCCUAUUCGCUUCCAGGAGCCGUCGUAGCAGCCGAUUAGGACUGGCUGCUGGUGUGGUGAUGACCUAGAGGGCUUCUCCCAGGUAAGGUGAGAAGAGGGAUCCACUCACUGCAAGAGGCUGCAUAAACUUAACCCAACACUGUAAAGGCUCUCCUCAUGAACAAAGCAUUAGUAGUCUAGAUAAAAU
rnacentral:lncRNA from 1 species